rnacentral:rRNA from 1 species
UACGUAGGGUGCAAGCGUUGUCCGGAAUUACUGGGCGUAAAGCGCAUGUAGGCGGCAGCGCAAGUCGGGCGUGAAAUCCCACGGCUCAACCGUGGAAGUGCACUCGAAACUGCGCAGCUAGAGUCCUGGAGAGGAAGGUGGAAUGCUUGGUGUAGAGGUGAAAUUCGUAGAUAUCAAGCAGAACACCUGCGGCGAAGGCGGCCUUCUGGACGAUGACUGACGCUGAGACACGAAAGCGUGGGGAGCAAACAGG